UCUGGGCCCACACUCUUGAGGCCUCAAGUAUCACUUUCAGUUGUUUAACUCUAAAAGGGAGCUGUAAAACAUCGCCGGAGAGGAGUCUUGCAUGUUAAGCGUGGGGAGAUAAAUCAAGGGAGGAAGCGUUAUGAGAGGCCAAGUGCAAAAAGCACAUUUUCAGAAAUCUAAACCAGACAGACGCUUGCAGCUUCGGAUUGGCAUCCCCGGGAGUCUGGAUGGGGUGUCAGACCAUCCGGGAGGAGCUCCAGCCCUCAGUGAUAAUGGAGCGCUAAGCCCCCCGCGGGCGAUUUCCGGGUCCCCGCAGAAUCCAACCCUCAGCGGUAACGGAGCGCUAAGCCCCCCGCGGGCGAUUUCCGGGUCCCCGCAGAAUCCAACCCUCAGCGGUAACGGAGCGCUAAGCCCCCCGCGGGCGAUUUCCGGGUCCCCGCAGAAGCACAUUUCCUUCCUCCUCCCACACUUGACUCCUUCAAGGUCGGGCUGUUACCUCCACUGUGCAGCUGCAGCCAGGACUCAAGGAGCAAAGCGACUUGCCCAGUCACACCCCAUGUGACUCUGGGGACAUGCAUGGAGUCACCCCAGCCCUCUUGAGCCUUAGCCCUUCUCUGGUUCCAUUCUGAUUUUCAAAGAAGGAAAUACACAGAUAGGAGGGGUUCCCAGGCGGCCCAUGUCCUCUGGGAGUGCGGUAGGACGAGAGUGUGAAGGAUGGCAGUGUCUGGGACAGAACCAGGCCCCCAGGUGCUGGCCUGGUGAUCACAUGGAGGGCCGGUUGCCUGAUCUUAGGUCUUCCUUGUGGGGGGCAACAAGGAUGUCCCUGGGGAAGGUACAGCCAGCACAAAGAUAAAGAUUUGGGAAGCAGCCUUUAUUCUUGUCUGAGUCUGGUCUAUUCUUGGAUCCCUGGCCCAGUCUGCACCCGCUACAUCACAGGUGCUGUUGUAGGGGCUGGGGAAGGAGCUGUGGGUGAGACCAUGUCCUGCCUUUGCUGAGCUCACCCUGUGGUCUUCCCAGCAGCCUGGUUCAGAGACAAGGAGCAGGGUGAGGGCCUGGACAGUUCUCAGUUGCCAGGAAGGGCAAGGGCACACUGUGGGGAGGACAGCAGGUAGACCAGAAGGACAGACCACUGCCUUCAGAGUCAAAGCCCGUUACUGGAGGCUUCUGGACAUCAGCCACAGCAGGAAGUAAGAAGCAGGCUGGGGAUACGAGGGACUGCUCUGGUUUUAACCUGCCCUUUAUGACUCCUUGAGGGCAUAGACAGUGUCCUACACAGGCUGCCUGGCAGCUUGGAGGGUUCUCACCGCUGAGUGCCGCCACUCAGAGUGAACCUAGGGGGCCGUCUUGUGCCUGACUUGCCUGGGAUGCUGCUGCCUGCUUGCCCAUUUGAACACCUUCUGGUCCAUCACCUUGAUCUACAGCAUGGCCUUGGCCUUGGUUUCCCCAUCUGUGAAGGAGAAGGCUGCCCUACAUGCCCCCCGAGGGCUCUCCUUGCUGGACAAUGAUUCCCCACUCGUGCCAGACACCCGCUUUAUGACCGGCUGUGCGGAAGCUGUGACGGUGCCUUCCCCGGCGGAGGACAGUGCGGUGACCGGCUGUGCGGGAGCUGUGACACGGUGCCUUCCCCGGUGGAGGACAGUGCGGGGACCGGCUGUGCGGGAGCUGUGACACGGUGCCUUCCCCGGCGGAGGACAGUGCGGUGACCAGCUGUGCAGGAGCUGUGAUGGUGCCUUUCCUGGCGGAGGACAGUGCGGUGACCGGCUGUGCGGGAGCUGUGACGGUGCCUUCCCCGGCGGGGGACAGUGCGGUGACCGGCUGUGCAGGAGCUGUGACAGUCCCUUCCCCGGCGGGGGAUGGUGCGGUGACCGGCUGUGCGGGAGCUGUGACACGGUGCCUUCCCCGGCGGGGGACGGUGCGGUGACCGGCUGUGCGGGAGCUGUGACGGUGCCUUCCCCGGUGGGGGACAGUGCGCCGAGGCUGCGCUGGCAACCAGCGCCCCAGAAGCACAGCCAGAUGAGUCCAGAGCUUCGGAGAGAAGAUUAACUGACGGCUUCUUCUGGCAGCCGCUUCCAGAGAUUUCUCAUCGCCCAUAGGGUUCUCUCCAGUAGUUAUUAUUUUUGGAGGGGAGAAACCCAGUGGUCUCUGCACUAGGGACGGGUACAAGAGCACGUUGGACCAUUCCCAGGCCUGUGCUGAAGAGCAACUUGCAACCGGGAGAGUCAGGUCCAGUCAGAGCUCCAGCUUCAUGCCUGGCCUGGAACCUGAUCACUUCAGCCAGCAAAUGCCAGCUGUCACCUGCCUCCAAGACCCAUUAGGAGGAGGUUCCAGUCAACCCAAUGGAUCACCUUGGCUUGGUAUAGACAGUUAAGGUCAAAACUCCCAAGCAUGCUUUUCCCACCAGAAGCAUACAGCAAGGAGAGCUAACCUUUGCUGCAGUGCCCACCGUACCCUGAGCUGGCAGCACAUUUAGUGGGAUGAAGAAUGUGAGAGGAUCAUUGCAUACAUCCACCAGCCAAGUGUAGGUUCAGCAGCAUUUAACAGAACUCUUCCCAGUGACAGUGUCAAAACAGGAUGGGUCCUUCAUGUCUCUUUUUGUGUAACAGUAGUUUGGAGGUGGGUGGCUGUAGGAAGCUGUUAGGGAUCAAUACUUAGUCUGUCCUCAUCCUCAUGGUCCAAGAUGGGUGCUAGAACUCCAGCCAUCUCAUCCAUGUCCCAAGCAGGUGUCCCCUCUUAGGGAGACUUCCUGGAAGUACCAUCCAACACUUUGCUGAUAUCUCAUUGGUUAGAACGGAAUCACAUGAUCACAUCUAGUGUAAAGGAGGCUGGGAUACAUAGUUUUGUAUUAGGUUGGUGCAAAAGUAAUUGUGGUAAUAAUUGAGCACAUUGUUGUCCAGCUAGAAAUUGGGUUCUAAGGAAGAUAGCAAGAAUGGAUGUUGAUCAGGCAAUUGGGAGUCUCCACAUUUGCCAACAGUCUUGUCUGACCACCUCUCCGGGUGGCAGGCCGAGUGGAUUCAGGGAGCACAGUGUUGGGGACAGGCAGGAAAAGGCACGGAACCACAGCACCAUGUUCCACAUUGCUGUCCUUGGAGUGGGCUGUCUUAAAGGAUUUAUUUUAGUUAUGUGAGGGGCUUGAGUUCCCCAAAUGGUCAACUCAGCUUUCAAGAGGUUUCCAGGGGUCAGGAGAGCGGUUUCUGACCCCCGCACUCCAACAGUCCAUGGUUCUUCACCUCAAGGCUGCUUAGCACUUCGGGUGAAUGAAGAAGGCACACGGGACAGUCUGUCUUCUGUGCAGUCACUGGAUCACCCUGGGAUAAAGUCUCCCCCAGGCCCUGUCAUAGCUCUGGUCCUUCUUAGGAAAGGAAAAGUCCUAUUAUUGUUUUUAGUUACACGUCAUCUUCCUUUUCUUUAACGUGUCUGGUUGAGCAAAAUCAUCAAAACCCAGAUCUUUGUUCAACGCCUGUGUGUCUGGCCCUCCAGCCCGGCCCGGUCAAGGCUGGCAGCCUGCAGUGGGGAGUGGGGUGAGGGCCUUCUGCUGUCUUUAGUCCCACGGGUCUGGACCUCUACUUCCUGCUGGGUCCCAAGGCGCAUGGUCCUUUCCAGGUUGGAGGGGGAGGGUAUGAGGAAGGGGACAGGGAGGGGAAUUCGGCACCAAGAAUUUGGGGGGCUUCUUGGAGAAUGAUUCCUAUCCAGUCCCUGGAAUGCUGCUGUCUCGACGGAGGCCAGCCCUCUCCUUGCACUGCUGGGGCUUCCUGGCUGGCCCCAGGGCACCUGGCCAUGCACUUCCCACAGGUGCUGAGGGCUCUGAUCCAUCUACUCCUCCCAGGAGGGUCCUCUUUAAAGGGACCCCAGGCCAUUAUCCUUACCAGGAGACCCACAGAUUGGCCCCUGUGGUUGGUGGGGAGGCAUCUCCCUUCAGCCCUCUCCUCCUUCUUCCGCUGGGAGCCAGGGCUAGCCACAGCCUGGGUGCAGACUGGCCUUUGGGAGCGAGUCCCUGCAGGCUGUGUCCUGUGCACUCCUGGGGACAGACAACAGUCCCUCUGCCCACCCCCACAGGGAGCUCCUUCAAGCUCCUCUCCCUUCCAUGAGGUGAGAGUAAGGGCCUCCACCCAUUCCCUGGAGGGGAGGAAUACAGGGGCCUCACAGCCUCUUUCUAAAGAAGAAACCAGCUUGACAAUCUCCAGCUGCCCUCUUGGCUUCUUCAGCCCUCGAGGUGGGUGAGGCUGAGGGCUGGCACACGGGGGCCAUGCACGUGCAGGUGCACCUGCUGCAGACUGUAGAGUCGCUGCUGGCAUCAUUCGACUUUGGCCUCCAGCAGAGACUGAGUCAGGAGCCCCAUUGUGAUGUUCUAAGAAUCACCGGAGCAAUUUGUUAAAAUGCAGGUUCCUGGGGACAACCUCCAGAGACUGGGUUCAGCUGGUUUGUUAUGGGGCCAGGGGACCUGCAUUGACCCCAUACCCCAGCUGAUGCUGAUGCUGGGGGUCCUGCAGGGACUUUUGGUUGUCCUUAGGGGUGGAAUGCAAUACACAGUCACCAUGGCAACCCCCAUCCUGUUUUUCUUGGAGCCCACAGGCCCAAGACCUUUCUCAGCCCGUCUCGGCUGCCUUUCCAGACACUCCACUUAAAUGGCUGUUUUAUUUUGUCAUAGCCUGCGGAUCUAGUUAAAUGCCUAUAAUACAGCAGUGUUAUCUGAGAGAGACACGCACACUUUCUUGACUAGAUUUCCAAGAAAUUUUAUGAAAGGCUGAUUUUCUUUGAAAGGCCUGGCUCCUUUAUGUGGUGGAAUAGAAUCGUUUUGGAAUUGAUAUUCUCAAGGACGGCGAGAGCCUCCUCCCGUCUUCCACUAUUCUAAGAUGUUUGUAGUCCCUCUCUCCCUUCUUCUUGCUGAUAACCGAAGCCCGCCGCCUCUUCAUCUUCAAAAGCACAACAUAAAUUAGAUGAAAAGAGUUUUUGUAUAAAAUAUUUAACCCCUCCUUAGUUCUUGGACAAUCCCAGCGGUGUUUGCAUGGCUGUACCGCCUUAAACCUGGCGGUGAGAGGAACGCAAGCCUGGGCGUCCGGUCCUCUCUUCCCCACCCACCUCCCUCUGCAGCCUCCUUUCCGCCCUCUGGAUCCAGCCACCUGUGCUCCAGCAGGUCCCCGGAGGGCCUUAGACCUAGC